AGGGACUGUGUGAAUGAAGCAAACUGUCUGAGCUUCAUGCGCCACUAUGGGUGAUGAGGUCCAUCAGCUGACAGGUUGGCAAGGAUUGCAAAAAAAAAAAACCCACCCCAGCAACUGAGAGAAACGCAGCUUGCCCCCGGGAGUCCGGCCCCGAACCUGCACUAGGUGCUGGAGGGGUGUGCAGGCAUCCUUGGACCCUCACCCCACGGCGUGGUAAGGAAGGAGAGGAAGAGAAGGGAUUAGAGAUUGGGAAGCUUUAUUCUUGCUUUGCAGCAAUAGCAAGGAAGCAAGCUCUGGGUGCGCGGUGUGUUGGGCUGUUUUCCUCUUCUUUUCACAUUGUGAGGAGUCCAGCCCGCUCCGGAGAGAUCCCUCGGAGUGGAGGGCCCCCUGAAAACUUGCGUCACACAACCACCACUUCCCACAUGUAACUUCGGGGAUUACUUCAGAGGCCGGCUGGCUGUCCCAGCCUGCUGGCUGGCUCUGCCACCAGAACUCCUCCCCUCUCGCGACUCCGGGCGCUACUUGCGCCGCCGCUGCUUCUGCGGCUGCUGCCCUGGAAAUCCCAGCCUUGCAGCUGGGAGAAGGGAGCUUCUUAGCUCGGGAAAGAUGCCGCGUAUCUUUGGAUUUCGAACCAUUCAUGGGAAAGUUGGGCCCUGAGCUGGACAGACAAGACCGGAGUGGUCAGGGGAUGGGGGAGUGGUGGAGGCUGCAGAACAGCAAUAUCCCUGGUGAGGAAAAAGCUGCCGAAUAUUACCUCCCCCCACCCCCCGCAAGCCUCAUCUCUCACAUAUCCUGGGUGCUGUGUCGGGCUUCCUCCUGCGAGGUACAUAUUCUUUGGACAGCACCUAGCAUGAGAUCAAGAGCGAUUUUUUUUUCUUCACAAAUCCUCAAUUAUAAUGAUAGCGAUGACUGUCACUGGGUAUAAUGGAGAGGGAUCCCUCCCAAAUCAGGAGGCCAUUCAGGAGCCUGUUGCCUCCUCUUCCAUGUUUAGAGUCCUUCUGGUAGAAGCAGGGCCUGAAAUGAUCCAGGAGGUGGAGACAGAAUCUAGCCCAGCCAGCAUUACCAUUAAGGAUCCAGCCUCUGCCAUCUGCCAGCUUGUCUUACCAGGCACCUUCAACACCAGCAAAAGAACAGCAGGAAAUAAGAUCAGUCAAAAACAACUUACUGAAUGCCUACUGUGCACAAGCUACUAUACUGGGACUAGGAGGUACAGCUGGGAAGAGGAAGAAGGAGCAGGAUACAAAAGAAGCAUUGGAUGGGCCCUGCCUUCCCAGAGCUUAUACUCUGAUUCAGAAAAUAGAACAUACACACAUGAACACAACAAAUUUAAUAUUUAUUAAGCACUGACUCUCUAUAUAGAUAAAUAUAGAUAUAGUUGUUAACCUCCUUGACUUAUAACCCUGAUGCAGUGAAGAAUGCCAGCUUCCACAACUCAAAUCCUGGAUGUGCCCAAUAGAUUCUAGUUGAGCUAAUGACUUCCAGCAGGCCCUGUAGAUCCCUGGCUUCACUCUUUAUAUUGUUAGUCCCAUGGUAAUACAUCUUACCUUGCCCUUGGCCAAACUCUAUCUAGAUUAUGUGCCCCUACUCACUCUAGAGUCUAGUGACAGGUAUCUAGUAAAUGUUAAUUAAUGAGAAAAUAGAUUUGAAUUAUAGCAAAUAAAGCAUAUGUUUUCAGACGUA